rnacentral:lncRNA from 10 species
CUAAAAUAAUAAGUUCCUUGACAGCAAGGACUUUUGACUAUGUGCCAGGCACCAGAGAUGUAUUGUUAAAACAAGCAAAAAUUCCUGCUCUCGUGGAACUUACCUUCUAGUAGGGGAAAGCAGCCAAUAAACAAUAAAUAUGCUGGGCACGGUGGCUCAUGCCUGUAAUCCCAGAACUUUGGGAGACUGAGGUGGGCGAAUCACUUGAGAUCACUGGCCAACAUGGCGAAACUCCGUCUCUACUAAAAAUACAAAAAUUAGCUGGGCAUGGUAGUGCAUGUUUGUAAUCCCAGCUACUCGGGAUGCUGAGGCAGGAGAAUCACUUGAGCCCGGGAGACGGAGGCUGCAGUGAGCGGAGAUCAUACCACUGUACUCCAGCUUGGGUGACAAAGCGAGAUUCUGUCUCAAAAAAAAAAAAAAAAAGAAUAAAUAUAAUAACUGCAGAAACUAUACAGUAUGUUAGAAUGUGAGAAUGCUAUGGAGAAAAAUUAAGCAGAGUGAGGAGCAUCCAGUGCAGGAUGAGGGUGUUGCAAUAUAACUGGAGUGGUCAGGAUAAGUAUUAUUGAGAAGGUGAUAUUUGAGCAAACACUUAAAGGUGAAGGAGGGACCCAUGGGGAAAAGGUAGUUCAGAUGAGGGAAGAGUUAGUGCUUGCUGAGAGAGGAAUGUGCCUACUCAUGUUUGAGCAACAGUGAGGAGGCCAGUGUGACAAAAUCAGAAUGAACUAGGGGGAGAGGAGUAGGAGGUGCCUUCAGGAUAAAACUCCAUAUGUCUUAGAGUGAUAUAUAUAAUCUCAUAUGUAUAUAUGGUUUCCCAUGACCCUGCCUCUGCCAGCCCAGUCAACCUCAUUUCUUGCACUGCCCCAUCCAAACCCAAGCAUGCACACUGGGCUUCAGCCUUCUUUUAUGAUUAUACAAGCUACUACUUAUUCUGCUUCGGACACUCUGCCCACUCUUCUUUGCCUAAUGAAUUCCAACCCAUUCUUCAAAGCUCAGUUUAGACAUCAACUUCUUUAGGAAUCCUCCAUUCACCAAGUCUUCAUUAGGCAUCCCUCUGUGUGUUACCCGUGGUACUGUGAUGAUCUCUAUCAAGUCUUUAACAUUCUGCAUUUCAAUUUUCUACUCGCUUGUCUGAUUCAGCCCUCUGUUCUCACUGUUCCCCUCCUCUUCCACACUGGGAACUCUUAAGCACAAGGGACCUUGUCCUGUUUCUGCAUCCUUAAUACUGGGCACAGUGUCUGAAACUUAAUAUGGUUUAAUAAAUGUUUGAUAGUGAAUAAAUGGCCAAGAUUCAUGUUUCAUUUCUAAGAAACUGAUCAUUAGGACAGAUGACUGGAGAAAUUUAUUGUUUAUUUCAGACAGAUCAUUUUUGUCUUCUGAUUUUCUUUUUUAAAAGGGCCUGAUUCCUGAAACACAGAAUCUUUAGUGCCAUCUAGUGGAAACAGCUCAAUAAAAACGCUAUACUAUGAAUAAAACUCAGCUUCCUUUGUUCUAUUUUAUUUAUUUUGAACCAAGACGGACAGAGAAGAGAGGGCUAGGUUGCAUAGACUCCAGGGCACACUGCAUGCUGGGUGUUUUUAUUUUUAUCUAAAAGUUCACUCUACCCGAGAAGACUCUAGUUGUGAGAUCUAACAAGUAUAAAUAGUCCCUUAUCAUUGACAUUUUGUGAAAAUGGGCAACUCUUCAACUUUGAGAAGGUAUACUUGAGGCCAACAACAAGGAACACAUAAUCUGGUCUCAGGAAACAUUUUGCAUCAUCUGGUAAAGGGAUUUCUGCCUCAUCAGAUUACAGACUACAUGUGAAGCCUUGAAGGAUAGCUCCAAGGAGAUGCGUGAGCACAAGGCAGUGUCCUCACAGUGAGCUAGGAAGAGGCUUGCACUGUCACUGCCAGUCCGUUUGUGCAUCAGAGAAGGCCUAAGCGUAAUUGAGCAGUCAUUGCUGUCUCCUCCAGGGAGAGGAACCAUCCUCCUCACAGAUGGCUGAAGAUCUUAUGAAGCUGAACCUCCCAACAAAUCCUCAUAUUUCGAUACAAAUAAGAAUAUGAUUGUCAAUAUUCAUACAAUGUUUUAAACCUUAUGUAGCAAUUUUGCACAUUCUUAUACUCUUUCAGAAAUAGUGUGGGUUGUGAUGAUAGAUUUGGGUUUGAAUUCUGGUUAACCUGUUGGCUAUGUGAUCCUGGGUGAGUUACGUAACCUCUCAGAACAUAUUUUCUCCUCUAUAAAAUGGUGAUGGUGAUGGUGCUAGGGUCAAAAUGAUACCACCUUAUGGGAUAAGGAUUGGAUGAGAGAAAUACCUAGCUUGACCCAUAAGAGGCACUCCAUUUCCUUCCCUUUUAUAAAGGUGGUUAUUUGCAUCAGUAGACCUCAGAUUUCCACAAUAGUUACAUGUUUAUAUAGGUGAUGUGUUCUCUUCAAACAUGUCUCAUGUUACAUGGUGAAUUUUUUUUUAAGAGAUAGGGUCUCACCCUGUCACCUAGGCUGGAGUGCAGCAGCAUGAUCCUAGCUCACUGCAGCCUUGAACUCCUGGGUUUAAAAUAUCCUGCCGCCUUAGCCUCCUGAGUAGCUGGGACUACAGGUGCAUGCCACCACACUUGGUUAAUUAAAAAAAAUUUUUUUUGUAAGGACAGGGUCUUGUUAUGUUGCCCAGUCUGGUCUUGAACUCCUGGCCUCAAGUGAUCCUCCUGGCUUGGCAUCCCAAAGCACUGGGAUUACAGGCAUAAGCCACCACACCUGGCCUCCCAGUGAUUCUUAACUCAGCAAUGGGGCAUGGAGGCGUUAAUAUCUGUAUUGCUAUAAAGCACCCCUGAGCCUCCAGACUGAGAAUUGUCAGUCUACAGUAUGAUACCCCAAGUAUCUCUCAUGAGUUUGAUAUUUUUGUGAUACCUUAUUCUUCACUCUUAGUAGGUUUAUUUCAAUAAAGUAAGGCUUUGCUUAUAUGGGAGGGCAGUGCAUUAAGCUAAUGCAAAUUAUAGUUGAUAAACUACCUUCUCAUGUAUCGCUGAAUGCCAGGGAGCAUUUUUGUUGGGGGCAGUGCUGGCGGGAGUUUUGAUGGAAGUAAUAGUAGAGAGAUGGAGAGUACACAAGACCUAGAGGAGGGUUGAUUGAACCAUAAGGAAAAACAGAUAAAAGGGAAGGUGAGAGGAAUUGAAGACAAUUAUCAUUUUUCUCAUACAGCCUCAUUUAGCAGGCUGAGACUUGGCUGUUUCGGGAGUACCUGCUGCCUCUCACUAGAAACUGCCAUCUUUAUGCUAUCACCCUGUCUCUCAUCCAGUCUUACCUACCUGAGGUAUAAGACCUGGACUCACCACUUGAGUUAUACAUGGCUACCUGAUCCAUCUCUUCAAAGUCAUAUUAAAUACUAUAAGAUUCUCAGAUUUAAUCUGUCAAAACCUAAAUAGUUCUCCCUAUAAUGAUACACGAAUGGUUACAAAUAAAGUUUGGAAACUGCAAAUUAGAAAACUAGAGAGAAAGGAAGUGGUUCCAGUCUACCAUGAGCAGCUCAUAGGCUAGAUGAACUGAACAUAGCUUUUGGUUUGUUCUAAGGAAAGGAUAUAAGACCAAAGUGUCCAUAAAGUUCUUAUUUAAAGUAACUUUUAGAGUUUGGGGUAAGAGAUCUUUCAAUUGAAACUACUAAGAAUACUUCUUAGGCCAGGCAAUUUGAAUUGAUGAGAUAAGAUAAAGCUGAAGGUCAAAGUUAUGACUUUGAGAAGAGUCAAGGCAAUGCCAUCAUCAAGGGAGCCAAUCUUCCAGUAGACAGGGGCUCCUGGAGUGAGAACUACAGACCUGCUGUUUCCAGGCUGCAAAUUAAUUGCAUUGGCCCAGCAGACACCAUCAGUAAACAAGCCUGCCAGGGAAUAUCUACUUGAUCCUCUUUCACAGAGCAAACUUCCAAGGGCUGCCUGGGUCCCAUCCUUAUUUUGUUAUCAUCUUCAAGUGAGUCCAAGUGCACAGCAAUGAAAAAAAUGCAUGUGUAGACUAAAGAAAAGAGUAACAUAACGGUGCGUUGGACCAUGAAGUGAUAGAUAGCUUCAUGAGGAAAGAAGAAUUUUGGAGGGACCUUGAUUAUGGGCAAAAUUUAAAGAAAGAUGGGAGACAGCAAAUGUAUCCAUACUUCUGGAAUGUUUUAGCUUUUGGCACUUAGGUUUGAGCAUCCCCAGAUGUCUGUGGUGUACCUCAUAAUCUGGUCCUUGCAGUUGGGCUGAUGUGAUAACAUCUGUUAUCUAAGGUAUCUACUGUGUGCUCAUGGACAAGGCAUCUGUUUCUGUGACUCUGUUUAUUUUCAUUGAUGACUCCCAUAUUGAAACUCCUGGGAAUGAUUCCAUGAAAGAUGAAAUAAGCCAAGGUUCGAAGGAGCAAACAGUUCAAACACAUAGUAAUAUAGUGGGAAUUAGAGCAGCCUGAUGGAUGUGUGGAGACUUCACCAGCUGGAAGCAGACUGGGAAUUACAAGUUUCAUCAACAGAACCAAAGCACAUGACAUACGCCACAGGGCAGAAUCCUUAUUAUGUAAUAAUAACCCCUGCACACUUCUCUCCCCCAGUUAACAAUGCACAGAUUGAGGUCAUUGUGUAUUUACAACCUGGAGAUAGCUGACAGCCCAUACUUCACCUUGAAGUUUGACUUGUCUGUUCCCUCAAAUGUGUCGACACUUCUGAAAUGUUUUCUCCUUUGGCACAUCGGUUUGAACAUCCCCAGAUGUCUAUGGUGUACCUCAAAAUCUGGUCCUUGCAGUCGGGGUGAUAUGACACAUCUGUUGUCUAAUGUACCUACUGUGUGCUCACGGACAAAGCCAAAUAAUUAAUCUGGGCCGGGAUUGUUCAUGCUUUCACAGUUCGGUUCGGCAUUGAUCUCUUCUUGCAGAAGGCCUAUAUUGGGACCAAACUGGGAAUGCAACAGGGCAAAGUUGGUCUAAAAAUCCUCUGGGAAUUUUCCAUUUGGCAAUUAAAUUUUCUGUAGAUUACAUCUCUCUAUCAAUUACCAGUGUGGCUUUUAUAAUGUUAUAAAAUCUGAGCAUAGCCAGUUACAUUUCUUUUACCCUGAGUCUCUGGGUCUUUAUCUGAAAAAUUAAAGGACUAGAAAAGAUGACUUUGAGUUUUUUACAGCUCUAAUGUUUGAGAAUUUAAUAAUUUCUCAGUAGUGAAAGUCAGAUUUCUUGACAAUAUAGCAAUUAGUUUGUCCACCUGUAUGUACUCUCCUACAUGUAUCUGCCUGAAGCCCAUUGCUACUGGUAUCUCCCAAGAUGGAAAUGUGCCAAGCUGGUAUAAGCCCAGUGGAAUUUCACUAAGAAACUAGACCCAGCCACUCAGCCCAUACUCACAGUCUUAUCUUUCCUCCCAUUCAUUUACCCAUUCACUCAACAAACAUUUAUUGAAGGCCUGUUAAGUGUUAGGUACUAAUCUUUAGAACCUGCUCUAUGGCUUUUUAGUCCAUCUUCCCUUCACUCACUUUUUUUGACAAACCAGGCAGACAAUGGUGUAGGAAAUGUAUAUUUAAUCAUUCUCUUGAACGAUC